AUGAUGCCCUACAACAAGGCCAUGUCCUCCGUCAUCCCUCAAAGACCGGACUUCCACUCCAUGACCUCAAGUGAAGUGUUGGAUGAGUUCGUUGGAAUGAGCAUCUUGGGCAAGACCGCCGACAAGGCGAUGCUCCGUUCUCAAAGAACAAAGAAGUCCAAUCUUGCCUUGAAGGCCAAGGUCAUUGUGGAAGAAGAGGAAGAAGAGGAAGAUGAGGAGGGCAAUCCCGAGGAUACAAAAUAUGAUUAUAUGAGCACAUGGCUCUUGCUUCAAGGCAAUUUUGGAGCAAGAAGAACACAAGGCCCAAUUUCAACAAGAACAAUUAAAGUGGGUUCAAGGGCAAGCAACGAGUGA
rnacentral:rRNA from 1 species